rnacentral:lncRNA from 1 species
CUCACUGCAUCGGGACUUUUUAAUUCUUCAGACACAACAAGGGUUUUUAGCUUUAAGCCUGUGCAUGUGGACAGUACCUUGAGAACAUGCUUGGAGGGGCAGUGUACAGGUGCUCUAUUUUAAUGGAAAAAACACUCCCCUCCCCCUUUCUUCUUCUCUCUCUUUUUUCUGAUCGGUCGUGUUUGUAGAAAAUUCCUAACAUAUAUAGGCCAAGGAGAUCUGCAUGUAUUUUUGGAAAUAUUCUUGGCUCUAGAUUUAACAGCUCUUUUAGCACUAUAGGCUGAUGGGUGGAUUAGCCACCCCGGCUCUUUUCACAAGACACAAAGACAUGCACAGGAGUUCAAAACCCUGAGCUGUUUCUCUGUUCCACUUUCCUUGUUGCUAUUUUCCCCUUCUAAGUUAUCUUGGGGAGCUCUGUUGGCUGACAGCGGUCACAAGGUGGCCUUCUCCAUUCUGAGUGGCCAUAGGGACAAAGAAGCAACUUCAGGCUCCAUGGAUGCAGGCAGAAUAGUGCCUUUUCUUCCCAAACACGUUGCUAGAUUCUGGACUUUCAUCCUGAUGUUCCUUAAAAACUGACCUCGCCUCUGCCAACCCUGCCUCCACCACCCAAAGUUUCUGAUGUCUG